rnacentral:rRNA from 1 species
UACGGAGGAUCCAAGCGUUAUCCGGAUUUAUUGGGUUUAAAGGGUGCGUAGGCGGCUUAUUAAGUCAGGGGUGAAAGACGGUGGCUCAACCAUCGCAGUGCCUUUGAUACUGAUGAGCUUGAAUACACUUGAGGUAGGCGGAAUGUGACAAGUAGCGGUGAAAUGCAUAGAUAUGUCACAGAACACCAAUUGCGAAGGCAGCUUACUAAGGUGCAAUUGACGCUGAGGCACGAAAGCGUGGGGAGUCAAACAGG